rnacentral:rRNA from 1 species
UGGGGAAUAUUGCACAAUGGGCGAAAGCCUGAUGCAGCAACGCCGCGUGCGGGAUGACGGCCUUCGGGUUGUAAAACCGCUUUCAGCAGGGACGAAGGUUUUCUGACGGUACCUGCAGAAGAAGCACCGGCUAACUACGUGCCAGCAGCCGCGGUGAUACGUAGGGUGCGAGCGUUGUCCGGAAUUAUUGGGCGUAAAGAGCUUGUAGGCGGUCCGUUGCGUCGGAAGUGAAAACUCAGGGCUUAACCCUGAGCCUGCUUUCGAUACGGGCGGACUUGAGGGAUGUAGGGAGAACGGAAUUCCUGGUGGAGCGGUGGAAUGCGCAGAUAUCAGGAGGAACACCAGUGGCGAAGGCGGUUCUCUGGACAUUUCCUGACGCUGAGAAGCGAAAGCGUGGGGAGCAAACAGGCUUAGAUACCCUGGUAGUCCACGCCGUAAACGGUGGGCACUAGGUGUGGGACCCAUUCCACGGUUCCGUGCCGUAGCUAACGCAUUAAGUGCCCCGCCUGGGGUAGUACGGCCGCAAGGCUAAAACCUCAAAUGAAUUGACGGGGUCAUGAGCUGUUU